CGACGUGGGGAACCUGCCGUAUGCAGGGGGACAACAGUCAGAAAUGACUGCUAAUACCGCAUAAGCACACAAUGCUGCAUGGCAUGGUGUGAAAAGAUUUAUCGGCAUACGAUGGCCCCGCGUCUGAUUAGCCAGUUGGCAGGGUAACGGCCUACCAAAGCGACGAUCAGUAGCCGGCCUGAGAGGGUGGACGGCCACAUUGGGACUGAGACACGGCCCAAACUCCUACGGAAGGCAGCAG
rnacentral:rRNA from 1 species